rnacentral:misc_RNA from 1 species
AAACCAAAUAGUGCUAUCGGCACCUCAAAUCCACUCCUACUCAACAGGAAUCUGCAUCUCAAUAGCUAUGCCAAACUAAAAUUGUCACCAAAUCAUGCUAACACUCUUGCAAGCUCUCAGUAUUUCGUGGGAUGAAAUUGAAAGAUAACCAAACUUUCUUGACUAAUAACAGCAUGGCUUCCCAUUUUUAACUAACAACUGAAAAUUUUCAAUCUUAUAAAUUUCUUCAACCCCUGGCCAACAUCACAUCCAAGUGAUUCAAAUCAACAUUGGAUGAAGAUCCUUCAACCCGAGGAGCUUUCCUGAUAUUUCUAUUGUUGUAGAUAAGUUCUUGUUUAUAUGGAUGCUCCUUGCAGGCUACAUGAUGCAGAUGGAGCAACGCAAUCAUGCUAACUGCAAAUAACGCAGCGUUGCCCAGCAACCCACCCAUAUGAUCCAAUUUAAGGGAUUUCCUCACAAAAUCAAAACUUGAAAUAAGAACUUUGAUUGCCAUUUUAGAUCCCUUCUCUUUGCG